AGCACCUCACCUUGUCCUCUGUGAAGGAGACCACGCUGCCCAUCUCAUUGCUUCCAAAGGUUCCAAAUCCAAUGGACCCGCUGAACGGGCAGGUAGUGUAGAAUGAUUUAUUAACAGCUGUUUUCAAAUUCACAUUUUGUGAUAAUAAACAACCAAAAUUAGCUUUUGAAAUUCUAAAUUAUGCUGGAUCAGAAAAGCCCAAUUUUCUUGGAGGCUAUAAUCAUAAGGAAGUUAAAACACGAAACAGAAGAGUACUGUGGGAUUGUCAACUUACGUUUGUAUCCUCCAGCAAUGCCUGACUGUGUCAGACAUCUCUGCAAUUCAUCAGCAUCUAUCUGCCCAUCCUUUUGAAAAAAAAAAAAAAAUAGGAAGACAAAUUACAAUAAUGAUUUGUAUCUUCUAGUUCUUUGUUUACUUUCAGUAUAUUAUUUUAACAAUGACAAAGAAAAUGAGCAUUUUCAUGCGUAAGACCUUUUUUUUUUUGGAAAAAAGAAUGCCUUCCAAACAUAGGCAUUCCUUUCCCAAUUCUACUUUCAAAAAUAAUAAUGAAAGAGAAACAAAUAGUUAAGUCCUCUUCCACAAAUGCAUACUUAGGGCCAUAAACAAACAAACAAAAUACAUUUCGUGAUACUUAAGUGGGCAUUCAAUUUUAGACUCUAUUUUAAAUAAUUAUUACAUACGAAUUCACAAGGUUGGAAAGCUGCUUACACCUCUACUUUAGUAUUAACAUUAUCUUCUCAUCAUUCCUCUAAGUUCCUCAGUUAGAUUUGGGAUUAAAUUUUCAAGCAGAAGGUUGGUCUUUUUAAUGAAACACUGAGGUAAAUUCAGUUUCUUCUUCUGAUACACAAGUUUUUUUUUUAAUGUGUGAAUGAAAUUAGUUUCUGUCUUGAACUACUCUUCUUUUAGUCUGAGCUAGGAAACUGCCAUUUAAGCAUUUAAAAUUAUUUAUAUAGUUGCUUUAAAGUCUUAUUCCUCUUUCUAGCUAUUUUUUUGUGGGGGGCGGGGGUGGUAAAGGCAUAGCAGCAUACAAAGCUAACAUCCAUGAAAAGUCUGGAUAAAACAGAGGCCUUUGUGAUCACCUUGGUUUAUGAUGAGGUGAAUGGUUUUUUUCAGAACUACAAUUAUAUCUGGAAGAUACAGGUUCCCAGUGCCUAUUUAUUGGCUAACCAAGUUCACAACUAGAUAUAUGUUGUUUUUAGGGAUUUAAAAAUAAAACACCUAAAUCCCUCACGUCCAUGAGGAUUGUAACUUCUAAGUGCAGAGCAGGAUCAAUAAUUUGAAAGACAAUGGCUAUGCUGAUGUAGGGGUAGGCCCAGGCUGCUGCAAGCGAAGCAGGUGGGGUCACUUACAGGGCUGGAGACACAGGCAAUCUAAGAACACAAGUCUUGAGCUUUGCCCUGUCUUGUGGUUUCAGAGAUACAGAUCAUUAACUGCUUAAGCAGAUACUUAAAGGGAAGCUCUUUCGGUUUUGGACUCAAUUUUCCAUUCAAUUUCCUGAACUAUAGUUCUUAGAAUGCUUUUCUGCAAGGCGGUCUUGAAUUUUUAUCCCACAAUAUUCUACAGCUUCUUCACAUUAAGACUGUGCUGUUUCUUGCUUUUGAUCAAAACAAAGGUAAAUGCCAAGACAAAAGAGCAAACAUCCCUUCUGGAGAGGACUGGGUUCUACCAGCAGUGAAUUUACCAUACACAGCGGCGUGGUGAGCUAGGGAAGUGUCCUUCCUCAAUGUACACCAUCGCCUGUCCUACCACACAAUAUAGAGAAGUCAAAGGUCUCCAGGAGCCCACCUUAAUUCUCUCUCUGGGUCAACAAGCCACAACACCUUAUACGGACAUGGAAGAGCUGACCUAGUAACAGCAUCAGCAUCAAAGAGAAAGUAAACUGUACACAAGAUUCGCUUCCCGAUAGUAAGGGAAUAGUAAGUAACUUUCUUAUGUUGAAGCUGGUAAGUUUUUAACUUAAGUACCUAUUUCCUCAGGGGGUAAUUGAUUAACAAAUUCAAUCCAAAGAAAGCAUCCAUUAGAAUCUGACUACAUGAUUACUGGCACAUGUCUGUAAACCGUACUAACAAGGGUUUGUGUUCACCAGAUUUGGAAUUUAUUCUCUGUAAACCACCAUGGACCCUGACAAUUCAUCGUUCUAAAAACAUCUUUCUACUUUACAGAUCCUCACAGUAUAUUUAUUGACCUUUAUUCUGUUCAUUCUGGCAUUAAUUCAAUCACAAAUUUAGUCUUGAAGUGAACUAACAUAAAUACAGGUAACACUUUGUCCUAAUUUGUUCUGAAUAUGCAGAAAUAAGUAACUGACUAUAAACUUCAUUCUUUCUCUCUUCUUUUCUUUCCACAAGCAAAGGGAUUCUUUUCCAGAGGAGAGUUCUUUUUUCCAUGCCACUCUAACAACAGCUAAUACAAAUGAAGACUCUGACAAUUCUUUAAUAUUAACGGAAAAAGCUAACCUGUCCUGCUACAGCAGCAAAGUAACCAUACAGCGGAUCCUGAGUUUGUCCGGGAAACGCAGGCCCUCCGGGAGCCCCUCCAUACUGUAAAACAACAAACACAAAAGCAUCAUCCCACUGAAUCCAGUGUUAUUCUUUCACCACUGAAUGCCUUUGUGCAAAGCUAGGCAAAUGCCGGCCCUUCACAUCCAUGGUUCACCUCCCCACCACCAGCACGCUCUAACUGCAAUCAUCCCACCCCUUUUCUUUCAUUCCCGCUCCAUCACAGUGUAAAAACUGGCAGCUUGGACCAAAAUGAGAUGUCCCGAAUAGUGACAUCUGCAUGAGCGAAGCAACUUUCAAAAUCCCAAUUAACCUGCAGGUUACUGA
rnacentral:lncRNA from 1 species